GGACACGUAGCUCAGCAGGAUAGAGCGAGGCUCUCCUAAAGCCUAGGCCGGAGGUUCGACUCCUCUCGUGUUCACCA
rnacentral:tRNA from 1 species